rnacentral:misc_RNA from 1 species
GAUGAAGAACGUAGCGAAAUGCGAUAAGUAAUGUGAAUUGCAGAAUUCAGUGAAUCAUCGAAUCUUUGAACGCACAUUGCGCCCGCCAGUAUUCUGGCGGGCAUGCCUGUUCGAGCGUCAUUACAACCCUCAGGCCCCCGGGCCUGGCGUUGGGGAUCGGCGGAAGCCCCCUGCGGGCACAACGCCGUCCCCCAAAUACAGUGGCGGUCCCGCCGCAGCUUCCAUUGCGUAGUAGCUAACACCUCGCAACUGGAGAGCGGCGCGGCCACGCCGUAAAACACCCAACUUCUGAAUGUUGACCUCGAAUCAGGUAGGAAUACCCGCUGGACUUAAGCAUAUCAAUAAGCGGAGGA